rnacentral:rRNA from 1 species
UACGUAGGGGGCGAGCGUUGUCCGGAAUCAUUGGGCGUAAAGAGCGUGUAGGCGGUCCGGUAAGUCGGCUGUGAAAGUCCAGGGCUCAACCCUGGGAUGCCGGUCGAUACUGCCGGGCUAGAGUCCGGAAGAGGCGAGUGGAAUUCCUGGUGUAGCGGUGAAAUGCGCAGAUAUCAGGAGGAACACCGAUGGCGAAGGCAGCUCGCUGGGACGGUACUGACGCUGAGGCGCGAAAGCGUGGGGAGCAAACAGG